rnacentral:tRNA from 1 species
GCCGGGGUGGCUCAGUUGAUUGAGCAUCUGACUUUGGCUCAGGUCAUGACCUCACGGUGUGUGGGUUCUAGCCCCACAUUGGGCU